rnacentral:sRNA from 1 species
GGUGCACACCCCUGCCCCACUUCCCUAAGCUCAGCUCUGUUUCUCCUCCCCUAGUGUGCACCAAGGGUCAGGUAGUAAGUGGCCAGUACCGGAUGCUCGCAAAGCAUGGGGGCUAUGUGUGGCUGGAGACCCAGGGGACGGUCAUCUACAACCCUCGCAACCUGCAGCCCCAGUGCAUCAUGUGUGUCAACUACGUCCUGAGUGAGAUUGAGAAGAAUGAUGUGGUGUUCUCCAUGGACCAGACUGAAUCCCUGUUCAAGCCCCACCUGAUGGCCAUGAACAGCAUCUUUGAUAGCAGUGGCAAGGGGGCUGUGUCUGAGAAGAGUAACUUCCUAUUCACCAAGCUAAAGGAGGAGCCCGAGGAGCUGGCCCAGCUGGCUCCCACCCCAGGAGACGCCAUCAUCUCUCUGGAUUUCGGGAAUCAGAACUUCGAGGAGUCCUCAGCCUAUGGCAAGGCCAUCCUGCCCCCGAGCCAGCCAUGGGCCACAGAGUUGAGGAGCCCCAGCACCCAGAGCGAGGCUGGGAGCCUGCCUGCCUUCACCGUGCCCCAGGCAGCUGCCCCGGGCAGCACCACCCCCAGUGCCACCAGCAGCAGCAGCUGCUCCACGCCCAAUAGCCCUGAAGACUAUUACACAUCUUUGGAUAACGACCUGA